GCAUGAUGGCGAUGUAUAAUGGCAGCAUGCCACUCCUCCUGUGCUGCCCAUGUAACCCUCUCAACCUCUACUUCCCCUACAUCCUGAAAAUGGAGGAGCAGGCUGUAGAAAUAAAUUGGCCUGGGUGCUGAAAGAGAUGUAAGUUUUAGCUUUAUUUUAUAAGGCUAUCCUAACUAUAAGAUAAGGCCAGGGACUAAUGAAAG